CAGCAGUCGCCGCGGUAAUACGGAGGGUGCAAGCGUUAAUCGGAAUUACUGGGCGUAAAGCGCACGCAGGCGGUCUGACAAGUCAGAUGUGAAAUCCCCGGGCUUAACCUGGGAACUGCAUUUGAAACUGUCAGGCUGGAGUCUUGUAGAGGGGGGUGGAAUUCCAGGUGUAGCGGUGAAAUGCGUAGAGAUCUGGAGGAAUACCGGUGGCGAAGGCGGCCCCCUGGACAAAGACUGACGCUCAGGUGCGAAAGCGUGGGGAGCAAACAGGAUUAGAUACCCGAGUAGUCCCUGUCUCUUAUAA
rnacentral:rRNA from 1 species